GCAGUCGAACGAUGAAGCCCUUCGGGGUGGAUUAGUGGCGAACGGGUGAGUAACACGUGGGCAAUCUGCCCUUCACUCUGGGACAAGCCCUGGAAACGGGGUCUAAUACCGGAUAACACUCUGUCCCGCAUGGGACGGGGUUAAAAGCUCCGGCGGUGAAGGAUGAGCCCGCGGCCUAUCAGCUUGUUGGUGGGGUAAUGGCCUACCAAGGCGACGACGGGUAGCCGGCCUGAGAGGGCGACCGGCCACACUGGGACUGAGACACGGCCCAGACUCCUACGGGAGGCAGCAGUGGGGAAUAUUGCACAAUGGGCGAAAGCCUGAUGCAGCGACGCCGCGUGAGGGAUGACGGCCUUCGGGUUGUAAACCUCUUUCAGCAGGGAAGAAGCGAAAGUGACGGUACCUGCAGAAGAAGCGCCGGCUAACUACGUGCCAGCAGCCGCGGUAAUACGUAGGGCGCAAGCGUUGUCCGGAAUUAUUGGGCGUAAAGAGCUCGUAGGCGGCUUGUCACGUCGGAUGUGAAAGCCCGGGGCUUAACCCCGGGUCUGCAUUCGAUACGGGCUAGCUAGAGUGUGGUAGGGGAGAUCGGAAUUCCUGGUGUAGCGGUGAAAUGCGCAGAUAUCAGGAGGAACACCGGUGGCGAAGGCGGAUCUCUGGGCCAUUACUGACGCUGAGGAGCGAAAGCGUGGGGAGCGAACAG
rnacentral:rRNA from 1 species